GUUGUUGUGGCCGAGUGGUUAAGGCGAUGGACUUGAAAUCCAUUGGGGCCCUUACAGGUUCGAGUCCUGCCGAUGACU